GUGGUGCCUUCCUGGGCAGCCUCGGGCAUGCCGGCGGGCCGGGCUCUCGGUUGCUGCUAACUAACGUGGAUUUUCUUAUCUUAAGGUGUAGACAAACCCGCCAAGAUUUAACUUCCGUGGAAAUCAGCAGGAGAGCGGGUGGAGGAGACGAGGAUGUGGCCAGUGCGCACGGAGUUUCCUUGGCAAGGAAAGCAUUGCGGCACAGAUUGGCUUUCAUCUCCGUUAGGCAAUUUACCCGGAUAUAACACUAGCCCCUUGGAUCCCGACUUCGCAGGAUGUUCCUGGUUGGAGCUGGGGGCAGGGUGGGUGCAGUUACUGCAUCCUGAGACGCCCGAACCUCCACGGUUUUUCUGUAUCUAAAUGAUCUCAGGAUUGCACCUGACCCUAAAACGCAUCUCUGAGUUGAUUUCCGCAGCUGCACCGCUUUGUGACCCAAGGGCUCCGAACCUUCUACAAUGCCGUCUAGACAGCCUCCGGUGAAACCGACCCGAGCUGCGAGCUGGCUACCUACCGCCCUAGGCUACAGAGGUCUCGGCUACAACUGCCGGAGCAACCCAAGGGAAGGUCGGAAGGACAAGAAAAAUAAGCCGAGAUUUACAUAUUCACAAACUGCUUUUGCUCAGCUUGGGUUGCGCAGCCCUAGAGGCUGGCACGGGGCGCAGCGCGGGCCCUACCGCGGCGUGGGUGUCUGGGCCCGAGUCCACGCGUACUUGUGUAGGUGCGCAAGAGGACAGCGGCUCCAGGGAUUCCCUCGCAGGUCUUGAGAGUAACCUCCAAAUGAGCCUAAUUUCGCCGCCCGCCGGGGCUGGCUCCCGGGACUCCCUCCACGCCGCUGGUCGCCGCCUCUCAUCCCUCCCUCCGCCGGGGCCCAGCCUGAUCCGUCCACUCCCCGGUGUCUCCUUGGAACCUCCCUGGGGAAGGGGGGUGGGGGAUGAACAACUCCCAGCUGCCGGUUCCAUUUGUUGCGCUUUUUUCCUUUGACACAAUAAAAGUCAAAUUAAUUGA